GUAACGACCCGGAAACCGGACCGCUACCGGCGCUAGGAUUCAGGUCGGCUUAAGGCCGCCAGAACCCGUAGCAAGCCAAACAUACAUCCUGUGAACCUGUUUAAUCCCAUACAUGGUCAACAACAUCCAUAAAAAUUAAAACUUUUCUUUCAUUCAAACAUUUCUUUGCCAAGCCUAGCCUGUGCAUGCACAAACAUAACAUAAACCUCUCAUUGGAGUCCUCAUCAAAUACUCCAAUGAGGUAACAUAACAUAACAUAGGCUUGGAUUACAUAGGCAUCAUAAAAACAUUAUAUCUCAUACAAGACCAUGUGUACAGGGAAUACAACAGACUCUAGUCAAGCACAUUAUUAAACUUACAUUACAUUACAUCUCAUACUUUUACAUUACAAACAAACCAUGUCCACAGCUAAGCUAUUACAUAAACUUCUCUUACUCUGCUGACUUCUCUAUCUACUCUGCACCUGCAAGACUGGGGUUAGGGGAGAGGGGGUGAGCUAUAAAGCCCAAUGAGCAGAAACUAAAAACAUUUGCUUUAAUUCCUCCAUUUUUAGGUAUAUUAUUAUUCAUUUUAUUAUUAUUAUUAUUAUU
rnacentral:lncRNA from 1 species